GAUGAACGCUGGCGGCGUGCCUAAUACAUGCAAGUCGAGCGAACAGACGAGGAGCUUGCUCCUCUGACGUUAGCGGCGGACGGGUGAGUAACACGUGGAUAACCUACCUAUAAGACUGGGAUAACUUCGGGAAACCGGAGCUAAUACCGGAUAAUAUAUUGAACCGCAUGGUUCAAUAGUGAAAGACGGUUUUGCUGUCACUUAUAGAUGGAUCCGCGCCGCAUUAGCUAGUUAGUAAGGUAACGGCUUACCAAGGCGACGAUGCGUAGCCGACCUGAGAGGGUGAUCGGCCACACUGGAACUGAGACACGGUCCAGACUCCUACGGGAGGCAGCAGUAGGGAAUCUUCCGCGAUGGGCGAAAGCCUGACGGAGCAACGCCGCGUGAGUGAUGAAGGUCUUCGGAUCGUAAAACUCUGUUAUUAGGGAAGAACAAAUGUGUAAGUAACUAUGCACGUCUUGACGGUACCUAAUCAGAAAGCCACGGCUAACUACGUG
rnacentral:rRNA from 1 species